UAUGGAAUGUGCAAACGUUAUUCGGAAUCACUGGGCUUAAAGCGUGUGUAGGCGGAUUUGUAAGUACCUUGUGAAAUCCCACAGCUCAACUGUGGAACUGCUUGGUAUACUGCUUAUCUUGGGCCACUUAGGGGUUACCGGAACAAACGGUGGAGCGGUGAAAUGCGUAGAUAUCGUUUGGAACGCCAAUGGUGAAAACAGGUAACUGGGAGUGUGCCGACGCUGAGACACGAAAGCCAGGGGAGCGAACGGG
rnacentral:rRNA from 1 species